CUAGUUGGCUAGCUAGCAGUGUUGACUAAGUUAGGAGGACGAAAACAGCUGGCUGGCUAGCUAACCUCGAUAAUUACUCUAAACUACACAAUUAUCUUUGAUACAAAGACGGCUAUGUAGCUAGCUAAGAAAAAAUUGCUCAGAUCAAACAAAUCAAACCGUUGUAAUGUAAUGAAAUGUAAUAUUACCUGUGGAGCAAAGCGAAGUGCGACUACCCGCUCCAAACCCGAUGAUGAUCUUUUAUGGAAUGCAUUUCAGUUAACAGGUGACCCCUUAAAAAAGUUAAAAGUUAAUUUGUGGAAUUUAUUUCCUUCUUAAUCUGUUUGAGCCAAUCAGUUGUGUUGUGACAAGGUAGGGGUGGUAUACAGAAGAUAGCCCUAUUUGGUAAAAGACCAAGUCCUUAUUAUGGGAAGACCAGCUCAAACAAGCAAAGAGAAACGACAGUCCAUCAUUACUUUAAGACAUGAAGGUCAGUCAAUCCGGAAAAUGUCAAAAACUUUGAACGUUUCUUCAAGUGCAGUCGCAAAAACCAUCAAGCGCUAUGAUGAAACUGGCUCUCAUGAGGACCGCCACAGGAAAGGAAGACCCAGAGCUACUUCUGCUGCAGAGAAUAAGUUCAUUAGAGUUACCAGCCUCAGAAAUUGCAGCCCAAAUAAAUACUUCAGAGUUCAAGUAACAGACACAUCUCAACAUCAACUGUUCAGAGGAGACUGCGUGAAUCAGGCCUUCAUGGUCGCAUUGCUGCAAAGAAACCACUACUAAAGGACACCGAUAAGAAGAAGAGACUUGCUUGGGCCAAGAAACACGAGUAAUGGACAUUAGACCGGUGGAAAUCUGUCCUUUGGUCUGAUGAGUCCAAAUUUGAGAUUUUUGGUCCGAACAGCCGUGUCUUUGUGAGACGCAGAGUAAGUGAACGGAUGAUCUCCGCAUGUGUGGUUCCCACCAUGAAGCAUGGAAGAGGAGGUGUUGGGGUGCUUUGCUGGUGACACUGUCGGUGAUUUAUUUAUAAUUCAAGGCUCACUCAACCAGCAGGGCUACCACAGCAUUCUGCAGCGAUACGCUAUCCUAUCUGGGGGACUAUCAUUUGUUUUUCAACAGGACAAUGACCCAACACACCUCCAGGCUGUGCAAGGGCUAUUUGACCAAGGAGAGUGAUGGAGUGCUGCAUCAGAUGACUUGGCUUCCACAAAUCACCUGACUUCAACCCAGAGAUGGUUUGAGAUGAGUUGGACUGCAGAGUGAAGGAAAAGCAGCCAACAAGUGCUCAGCAUAUGUGGGAACUCUUUCAAGACUGUUGGAAAAGCAUUCCUCAUGAAGCUGGUUGAGAGAAUGCCUAGAGUGUGAAAAGCUGUCAUCAAGGCAAAGGGGGGCUACUUUGAAGAAUCUGAAAUAUGUUUGCAUUUGUUUAACCCUUUUUUGGUUACUAGAUGGUUCCAUAUGAGUUAUUUUAUAGUUUUGAUGUCUUCACUACUUUUACAAUUUAGAAAAUAGUAAAAAUUAAUUAAUUAGUAGGUUUGUCCAAACUUUUGACUGAUAUUGUACUUAUAUAUAUUGUUGUGAGAAUCAAUCCUGCUUCCAUAAGGCAACACUUCUAGCAUAAUGCUAAUGAGUGUUGCUGGGCUUUCACUUCAAUUGGAUUUAGAAAAUCAAUGUGCGGUUGGCAUAUGUUCUGUUGGCAGCCAGUUCCUGGGAGCCCAGUUAGACUCCAGUCAUUUACAUAACCUCCAACUGUCUGUCUUCUUGGACUAAACCCCCUGUAUGAGUAAAUAGUCAAAUACUUUGUUUUAUAUUCCAACUAGAGUGGCAUUCACUAAAAGCCCUAUGUAAUAAGCGAGAAGGUACGGUGUAAUGUAUCAUACGCAGUAUUUAUUGACCUUGGACCUGGUUCUCAAAUAUAAACAGAAGCAUUUGUUAUAUUUAAGCAAUAUGGCACGAGGGGCCGUGGUAUAUUGACCAUAUUCCAUAAACCUCCAAGGUGCCUUAUUGCUAUUACAAACUGGUUACCAACGUAAUUAGAGCAGUAAAAAUCAAUAUUUUGUCAUAGUCGUGGUAUAAGGUCUGAUAUACCACGGCUGUCAGCCAAUCAGCAUUCAGGGCUCGAACCACCCAGUUUCUAAUCACUGUUAAGGAAUGUCUGAUAUGUAACCAGAUAUGUCACCAACAUGCUCGUUAUUGGUUUUUGAUGUUUUUUCCAGUUAACGGGAAACAUCAGUUGUCUUGUUUAUAUACGUGAUUACGACUGCUUAGGAGCUUGUUAACAUACAGUACAGUAUUUUAGGUUCAUCAAGUAUGCAAUGCCAUUGACUAUGAUUCAAUGUAUAGAGCAUCGCAUCCUCCCCAAACAACAAAGGUCUAUCAACAUUCUUCCUAAACAGCAGCGUAUUUCCUCCCUCAAAGGUCUUCCAUUCAGUCCCCAACAAAUCCCAACCUCGCUGGCCUUUUGAUAUUCCAAAUCCCCUACUCCCCUCCGAAGAUGAGUUGUCUCCCGUGCAGGUAAAUUGAAGGCACGUUGCAGUAGAUCACAGCCAACUGAGGCUUUGCCACCAUAGAUCUUCUGGUGGCACAAUGCCCCAUGCCUAGGUUUGCAAAAUUCCAGUAACUUUCCCCAAAUUCCCUAGUUUUCCAGAAAUCACAGUUGGAAGAUUCCCGGAAUCAGGAGGGAAUAAGCAGGAAGUCUGAGAAUCCUUCAACCGGGUUUUCUGGUAAAGCUACCGUAAUUUUGCGGAAGACACAUUUUAGUUGAAUGCAUUCAGUUGUACAACUGACUAGGUAUCCCCCUUUCCCUUUACUUUCUUAUCAGUUUCGCAGACGGCACAUGACACUUAGCCUCCGUCUAUAUUCAGACUUCAUUACCCCAGUAAUGGCGGAGCUGAAUUGCCACGCAGAGAAUGUGUGUGUGUGUGAGUAUGCGUGUGUCUUCAUCUCAUAGCAUAGAUAGAACUAGAAAACGGCCGUGGUGAUGCAGUCUAGAGAUCACGUACCUGUCUGUCAGGUAACUUAAUCAGUGUCACAGACUCAUAAUCCCCAUGAGGCUCCUCUCUCUGGCCUCACAGUAGUGGGUUUUGCACUGGCUCAAUCAUUCAAACCACAUUGAUGUGAGUCAGUGAAGUAGUAGUGACUCACCGAAAAUGUAAUAAUGUUAGUCAUCUAGGAAACACUUUCCACCUGUGAGGAAUAAUGUAUUAUAUGAAUAUAGAGCCAUUAUUUGUUUUGAAUAAUUUAUACCCGGUGGUACACACAGGGGGUUUAUAAAAAGUAUAUUUUAAAGGAGCAGUAUUUUACAACAUAAUGUUAGACUAUGUUCAGGUUGAGGAACCAUCUAACAUUAUAUGUUGUAAAAUACUGAACUGCCCCUUUAAUCUUAGAUCUAGGAGAACCCCACUUCCUCCAGAUUAGCAUUGUUAACCUCACCCCCACUUCCUCCAUGUUAGCAUUGUUAACCUCACCCCCACUUCCUCCAUGUUAGCAUUGUUAACCUCACCCCCACUUCCUCCAGAUUAGCAUUGUUAACCUCACCCCCACUUCCUCCAUGUUAGCAUUGUUAACCUCACCCCCACUUCCACCAUGUUAGCAUUGUUAACCUCACCCCCACUUCCUCCAGAUUAGCAUUGUUAACCUCACCC
rnacentral:lncRNA from 1 species